GCCUAAGCCUCCCCUCCCCCUGAAGGCACCAGAUCCCAUCUGUUCUUAGAAGUGAAGCAGUGUCAGUCCUGGUUAGUACUUGGAUGGAAUACUAUCAGUGAAUACCAAGUGCUGUAGACU
rnacentral:rRNA from 1 species